AGAGUUUGAUCAUGGCUCAGAACGAACGCCGGCGGCGUGGAUAAGACAUGCAAGUCGAACGCUGACAUUCAGGUAGCAAUAUUUGGAUGUCGGAGUGGCGCAAGGGUGCGUAACACGUGGGUAAUUUGCCGUGAAGUCUGGGAUAACUUGCUGAAAGGCGAGCUAAUACCGGAUGUGAAUUCUUGAAGGCAUCUUUGGGAAUUCAAAGUUGGGGACCGCAAGGCCUGACGCUUUACGAUAAGCCCGCGGCCUAUCAGCUAGUUGGUGAGGUAACGGCUCACCAAGGCUAAGACGGGUAGCUGGUCUGAGAGGACGACCAGCCUCACUGGAACUGAGACACGGUCCAGACACCUACGGGUGGCAGCAGUCGAGAAUUUUUCUCAAUGGGCGAAAGCCUGAAGGAGCGACGCCGCGUGGGGGAUGAAUGGCUUCGGCCCGUAAACCCCUGUCAUUUGUGAACAAGUUGCUUCACCCAACACGUGAAGCAUUGAUUGUAACGGAAGAGGAAGGGACGGCUAACUCUGUGCCAGCAGCCGCGGUAAUACAGAGGUCCCAAGCGUUGUUCGGAUUCACUGGGCGUAAAGGGUGCGUAGGCGGUUGGACAAGUCUGAUGUGAAAUCCCGCAGCUUAACUGCGGAACUGCAUUGGAAACUGUUUGACUAGAGGAAUGGAGGGGAGACUGGAAUACUUGGUGUAGCAGUGAAAUGCGUAGAUAUCAAGUGGAACACCAGUGGCGAAGGCGAGUCUCUGGACAUUUCCUGACGCUGAGGCACGAAAGCCAGGGGAGCAAACGGGAUUAGAUACCCUAGUAGUCC
rnacentral:rRNA from 1 species